GCUAGCUAGCCAGUUGGAAGCCGUUGGGAAUUUAUGCCCCACCCAGUUUUAAGAUAAACUUUUAAUGAAAAUUUGGAGUUAAAAGUAACAUGACCCCGCCAUCAAACAUAUUAUCCUAAAUAACAAGAGGAAGGACUUUUUUUCAAGUGAUGCCAUCAUCAAAUGUUUGAAGCUGCCAUCUGAAACUUCAAACUCCAAAGGAGCCAACAGUCAAUCAGUUAUAAGCUAGCUGGAGGCCAAAAGCCUGGGCCCGCCAUGCCAGUCCUAAUAAAUCCUCAGCUGAGAGUGGCGGCGGCAGCAGUAGGUCUGCAUUCUUCAGGAGCCAGCGCUUCCCCUAAUCUGCCCCGGAGAUGGAGCAACAGUUGGCCUGGCUGCUGGG